UACGGGGGGGGCAAGCGUUGUUCAGAAUUACUGGGCGUAAAGGGCUCGUAGGUGGCCAACUAAGUCGGACGUGAAAUCCCUCGGCUUAACCGGGGAACUGCAUCCGAUACUGGAUGGCUUGAGUUCGGGAGAGGGAUGCGGAAUUCCAGGUGUAGCGGUGAAAUGCGUAGAUAUCGUAAGGAAGACCAGUGGCGAAGGCGGGUCUCUGGACAGUUCCUGACGCUGAGGCACGAAGGCCAGGGGAGCAAACGGG
rnacentral:rRNA from 1 species